CAACCUCCCAGGCUGGCCGGGCCGCAGGCUGGGCUGGGUGAGUAUCUCUUCGAAAGGCUUACUCUCAAGAAGGACUGAGAGU
rnacentral:pre_miRNA from 1 species